CUCCGGUGAUCCUGCCGGACCUGACUGCUAUCGGAUUGGUACUAAGCCAUGCGAGUCGUUGUAGCAAUACAAGGCGGACGGCUCAGUAACACGUAGUCAACCUAACCUAUGGACGUGGAUAACCUCGGGAAACUGAGAAUAAACCGCGAUAGAUCAUUAUGCCUGGAAUGGCUUAUGGUUCAAACAAUUUAUUGCCGUAGGAUGGGACUGCGGCCUAUCAGCUUGUUGGUGAGGUAAUGGCCCACCAAGGCUAUAACAGGUACGGGCUCUGAGAGGAGAAGCCCGGAGAUGGGUACUGAGACACGGACCCAGGCCCUAUGGGGCGCAGCAGGCGAGAAACCUUAGCAAUGUGCGAAAGCACGACUAGGUUAAUCCGAGUGAUUUCUGUUGAAGAAAUCUUUUGUCAGUCGUAAAACCACAGACGAAUAAGGGGUGGGCAAGUCUGGUGUCAGCCGCCGCGGUAAUACCAGCACCCCGAGUGGUCGGGACGAUUAUUGGGCCUAAAGCAUCCGUAGCCGGUUCUGCAAGUCUUCCGUUAAAUCCAGCCGCUCAACGGAUGGGCCGCGGAGGAUACUACAGGACUAGGAGGCGGGAGAGGCAAGCGGUACUCAGUGGGUAGGGGUAAAAUCCUUUGAUCCAUUGAAGACCACCAGUGGCGAAGGCGGCUUGCCAGAACGCGCUCGACGGUGAGGGAUGAAAGCUGGGGGAGCAAACCGGAUUAGAUACCCGGGUAGUCCCAGCUGUAAACGAUGCAGACUCGGUGAUGGGCUAGCCUUGUGCCAGCCCAGUGCCGCAGGGAAGCCGUUAAGUCUGCCGCCUGGGGAGUACGGUCGCAAGACUGAAACUUAAAGGAAUUGGCGGGGGAGCA
rnacentral:rRNA from 1 species